AUUUCCAACCAAUUCGCCCUGAAUGUGCUCAGAUUUUAUGGAUCUCAGAAGCUAAGCUGGAUGGAGCCUAGUUCGUACUGAGAUGGGAGAAUGCCAUAGAUUACCAGAUAUUGUAGGCU
rnacentral:rRNA from 1 species